GUCCACGCCCUAAACGAUGCUGACUAGUUGUUCGGGAUUUACAUCCUGAGUAACGUAGCUAACGCGUGAAGUCAGCCGCCUGGGGAGUACGGUCGCAAGAUUAAAAACUCAAAGGAAUUGACGGGGACCCGCACAAGCGGUGGAUGAUGUGGAUUAAUUCGAUGCAACGCGAAAAACCUUACCUACCCUUGACAUGUGACUAACGAAGUAGAGAUACAUUAGGUGCUCGUAAGAGAAAGUCAACACAGGUGCUGCAUGGCUGUCGU
rnacentral:rRNA from 1 species